UCUUUUACUUCCUCAUCGCGAGCUAGUGAAGACGCAGCUUCUUUGGUUUAUCUGACAGUUACAAACAUACAGCGGAGAAAAAAACGGAUUCAACUACAGGCUUUGUGCGUCAUUGGAAUUGAGGGCAGCUCGUGACAGCGCGGUUUGGCCAACCGUUAACUGCGUGCCGCCAUCACCUUGUUCUGGAAGGCAGUUUGUGACAGCGCGGGUUGGCUAACAACCGUUAGCUACGUGCCCUCAUCACCUUGUUUUGGCCGGGUCUUUUAUGCGGGAGUCGCCUUUCAUUGAGGACAUCGUGGGAGAUCGCUUGCGAAGCAUUUUUUUUUUCCUUUUAUUUUUCCGCUCUCGACCUGUCGAGCCACAGGAGUGGUUGUCGAAGGAGGGACCGGUGGCGAGCUAACCCAACUUUCGAAACUGAACUGGACACUUUUUUUUGUUUCAGCUGGGAAUCUGGUAGGAACUUUCCAUAAUAGGGAAUGGGACGUACUACGUCAUUGUUUGGACCCGCCUCCAUGCUGGCAAUAUAAUUCACUUCCGGGCCGGCAGAGUCAAUGCGGAUUGUAACGUGUGGUAGUGCUAAGCUAACUCUUUCGGUGUUUUAGAAAGAAAAUAUGGGUGCUUAUUGUUGCAUUACCGGGUGCAACAGCGUCUCCUACGACAAAAAAAGGGGUUAGGAAAAAUGGACUCACUUUUCACCGUUUUCCUGCAUGGAGGACCAAAUAUCAGAUCACGAAGGUACGACGGAUGGCUGGAUUGCAGCUGUUCGUCGGAAAAGCAUUUCUUAUGAUCAUAUUUCUGCUGGAAUGAGAGUGUAUUCCCCUCAUCUCUACUCUUGUAAGUUGAACGAUUUAUCCGUUUUGGUUUCAAUACGUUUUUUGUUUUUGUUUUUUUCUUUACUGUUGUGUAAAUCUGCCUCGGUAGCAAUGCUAACCUACUCCUCCUCAUCACCUACCUGUUGUGUUACUAGGAAAACCUGCAUAUGAAAUGCUGACAACACAUCCCGAUUGGUCACCAUAUCUCUUCUUGGGUUAUUCUGAGGUCAAGCGCACCACAUCGGAGCGUUGAGAGGUUGGAAAGGCGAAGAGUGCACGCUGAAACUUCAGUUUGCUCUGCUCUUACAAACACGAUCCCAAGUGUUAUGAAAAGUCAAUAAAAUAUGAAUACCAAAACAUGACUUGAACAACUUCUUGACAAACUGUAACUGCUUGUUGUUUACUUCAGGUCUUCAUAAUAAACAGGUGUAACAAUUACAAAGUCAGGUGACUUAAUUUUGUUAUUCUAUUUGGAAUAUGCAUUGACAAUUUUUGGACAGUGUUGUAGACAAGAACUGGGACUGAUAAGUUGCAAUAGAUUUAUUUCAAGUAAUGCAAUUUCUCCAAUACGAUAUUUGAAUUGACAGUUUAAAAUCUUUAAAUUAGUGCAAACAAGGCCCACCCUCUGACGGUGGCAGCAAAUAUUAUAUAAGUAAUACACAAAUACAAGAUCACAAUAAACGUGUCUUUGUCAAAGCAGUUUAAAACACUAUUUACUGGUCUUGGGUAAAUUGCCAGACAGGAUAAAUAUGUGCUUUAAAGUUCUUGCAUUUCCAUUUUAAGUAUUGCAAGUACUAGUCUCCAACACAGUAUUUGAACUGACAGUUUAAAAUCAUUUUAGUACAAAAUGGCCCACACUCUGGCAGGGGGCAGCAAAUAUUAUAAUACAUAAUACAUUAUAAAAAGCUAUAUACUAUAUAAAUACAAGAUCACAACAAAACCUGUAUUUUUCAAAGCAAUUAAAAAACAUCCAGUGGCCUUAGGUAAAUAAAGGUGUAUAAAUAUGUACUUUACAGUUCUUGCAUUUCUAUUUUAGGUAUUGCAACUUUUCCAACACUAUUUGAAUUGACAGUCUGAAGCCUACAUAAGUGCAAAUAAGAAUAUUAUAAUUUUAAAAUAAUAAUAGAAUAUAUAAAUUCAACAUUACAAUGAAAGGUGUCUUUGUCAAAGUGGUUAAAAAAAAAAAAAAAAAAAAAAACGUCACUGGCCAUAGUUAAAUAGCCAGGCAGAAUAAAUAUGUGCAUUAAAGUUCUUGCAUUUUCACAAGUUAAAAGCCCGCAGUUCAUCGACGAGAAGGGCAGACCCAGAUGGCGUCUGCUGCAGGGGCUUGUUUGAGUCCGACACAGGACAAAUGGAACCACUCCAUUGAACAAAUUUUCUUUGUCAAAUGAUCCAAGAAGAGAGAUGGUGACCAAUCGGGAUGUGUUGUCAGCAGGUUUACCUAGGAACACAACAGGUAGGGGAGUCGUAGUAGGCGAGCAUUGCUACCGAGGCAGAUUAACACAACGAUGUAAAAAAACAAAAACGUAUUGAAACCAAAAGUGGAUAAAUCGUUCAACUUACAAGAGUAGAGAUGACAGGAACACACUCU